rnacentral:rRNA from 1 species
AUUGAACGCUGGCGGCAUGCCUUACACAUGCAAGUCGAACGGCAGCACGGGUGCUUGCACCUGGUGGCGAGUGGCGAACGGGUGAGUAAUACAUCGGAACAUGUCCUGUAGUGGGGGAUAGCCCGGCGAAAGCCGGAUUAAUACCGCAUACGAUCUACGGAUGAAAGCGGGGGACCUUCGGGCCUCGCGCUAUAGGGUUGGCCGAUGGCUGAUUAGCUAGUUGGUGGGGUAAAGGCCUACCAAGGCGACGAGCAGUAGCUGGUCUGAGAGGACGACCAGCCACACUGGGACUGAGACACGGACCAGACUCCUACGGGAGGCAGCAGUGGGGAAUUUUGGACAAUGGGCGAAAGCCUGAUCCAGCAAUGCCGCGUGUGUGAAGAAGGCCUUCGGGUUGUAAAGCACUUUUGUCCGGAAAGAAAUCCUUGGCUCUAAUACAGCCGGGGGAUGACGGUACCGGAAGAAUAAGCACCGGCUAACUACGUG